GAUCAACGCUGGCGGCGUGCAUAACACAUGCAAGUCGAACGAUGAAACUUAACUGAUUUCUUCGGAAUGAUUUUAAGUGGAUUAGUGGCGGACGGGUGAGUAACGCGUGAGUAACCUGCCUUGCACAAGGGGAUAGCCGUUGGAAACGACGAAUAAUACCCUAUGAUAUAAACUCUUCGCAUGAAGAGCUUAUCAAAGAUUUAUCGGUGUAAGAUGGACUCGCGUCUGAUUAGCUAGUUGGUGGGGUAACAGCCUACCAAGGCAACGAUCAGUAGCCGGCUUGAGAGAGUGUACGGCCACAUUGGGACUGAGACACGGCCCAGACUCCUACGGGAGGCAGCAGUGGGGAAUUUUGCACAAUGGGGGCAACCCUGAUGCAGCGACGCCGCGUGAUUUAGAAGGCCUUCGGGUUGUAAAAAUCUUUUGUAUGGGAAGAAAAUGACAGUACCAUACGAAUAAGGACCGGCUAAUUACGUG
rnacentral:rRNA from 1 species